CAAAAUGAGCUUAUCCUUGGCCAUGGAGUGGAGGAGCACUUCUACGAGGGAUUGGAUGGGACAUGUGGAGGAGACAGCGGUGAAGGAGCAGGGGCCAUGAUGCUGGGACCAAAACAAAGAAACAAGUCGUCUUCUGUCUUCCUUUUUUGGAUGAACUCUGACCAAAGGGGACUGCAUGUUCUCAGCUACGCUGGACUCAAUGAUCCACUAUUUUUCACUGGUGUUUAAGAUGGUUUUUUUUUCUUCUUUGUGCCUCAAAGCACUUGUAAAAACACAUUCUGAUGCCCACACUUGUUCACAAACACAAGGCAAGGUCCCAAGCCAAGAGAAGUUCUUAUGGGAGAAUUGACCAGAGAUGCACAAAAGUGAAGAUAUUUUCCAUUCUAGGGUUCCCUAUCAACUUGAUAUUUCUACGUACAAUCAAGGAGUUUGUAUCAGCUUUCCUUUCAGAGUUUGUGUGCGCACGACUUUUCUAUGAUACUUUCAAAAAUGAAAUUUAAUAGCUGUAUUAUUUCAUCUUCUAUGGAAGAAAAACAAACAUGAAAUACAGACAAACAGAAAGAUCCUGUCAAAUUCUACCUUGUAACCAAAUAUGCUUUCAGAGUAAAUGACAGCAAUGAGAAGAAAUAGCAUGUAAAAAAAGAAAGCGCACAGACUAAGUCUGAAUUCUAGGGCUAAGUUUUCCCAGUAAUGGAGAGUUGUGGUGCUUUCAACUCUGUCUCCACUGAAAUCCAUUAAGACUGCUGCAUAACCUCUUGUCCCUCUUUAUAACUUGCAUGUUGUCACUGCUUUUCAAACCCAUCACUCCUAAGAAUGUCGCUCUGGGAAGGGCACACAGCACUAAUAACAGGAGCUGCAUGUGAAGGAACUCCAUUGUCAGGGAGAUGCUCUGGAAUAUGCUACAGAGGAUAGUAUUGCAAAAAUGUCACAAUACAUCCUCCUGAUAAUACAUUCCCUGUGAGCUAUACAAAGAGCAGAGAGAGGUAUUUGUAUGGCAGCAGACACCUCAGAGCCAUGAUAUGAAUUUGCGAGUAGCUUCGUAUGUGAAUGUGAAAAAGUUGCUUUCCUCAAUUCUUUUUACCCUCCCAGCCCCUCUCAGUGCACAGAACAGAGGCUUGAGCAGAAAGAGUAGAAACCACCCACGGCAGAACUGCCACCCUUGAGUUACGAUCAGUCAUUGUGCCAAACUGUCCCCAUCCUUCAGGGCUACACCACAGAACUGCACCCCAGUGCCUUGGGCAUCUGCCCCCUAAAACAGGACACAAGCAAUUUGUCCCAUCUCUCAGGUUGCUUGAAAGUGGAUUAUCUCUCCCUCGUGUAUAGCUGACCAAGGAGUUUCCCCAGCUCCAGCUCAGGCAGACCCUGAAAUGAAACUGGUUGUAAGUACAAUACGUGCCACGCUUGUUCUCGUGUCCUUCCUCUGGUCUUGACCAUGGUUGGAGCCAGGAUACCAGAUGAACCUUUGGCCACUCUUACCAGUACAACUGUUCUUAUCUCCUUGCAAACCCUACCCAGUGCUUGGCUGUUGCUACCUUCCAAAAUGGGCUGAUUCGGAUUCCAGAAGCAAAGCAUCGCUCUGACUCCCCUGCCAUGAACCUGGAUUAACUGCCACCACCAAUGUCACUUAGUGGAACUCAAUAUCCUCCAUCGUCUGGGUGUCAUGUUAUACUCACUAGCUAAUUGUUUCUUGGGGCUCCUACCCUCCUCCUGGUUGGACUGUUUUAU